UCCCCCUUUAAGGACGAUCCCGUGAGGUCGGCAAGGGAGGAUGCUAUGCUUGUCCAUGGUUCUUUUGGUGUACCGUGGGAAAGUGCAUCUCUCUGCCGAUUAGGGCAGAGAGAUUUUUUUAU
rfam:Marininema halotolerans strain DSM 45789 genome assembly, contig: Ga0104500_103